UACAGGGGGUGCAAACGUUGCUCGGAAUCAUUGGGCGUAAAGCGCACGUAGGCGGUUCGUUAUGUCGGAUGUGAAAGCCCUUGGCUUAACCGAGGAAGUGCAUCCGAAACUGGCGAGCUAGAGUACUAAAGAGGAUCGCGGAGUUCCCGGUGUAGAGGUGAAAUUCGUAGAUAUCGGGAGGAACACCGGUGGCGAAGGCGGCGAUCUGGGUAGAUACUGACGCUGAGGUGCGAAAGCGUGGGGAGCAAACAGG
rnacentral:rRNA from 1 species